rnacentral:rRNA from 1 species
CAGUAGCCGCGGGAAUACGUAGGUGGCAAGCGUUGUCCGGAAUUAUUGGGCGUAGAGGGCUCGCAGGCGGUUUCUUAAGUCUGAUGUGAAAGCCCCCGGCUCAACCGGGGAGGGUCAUUGGAGACUGGGAAACUUGAGUGCAGAAGAGGAGAGUGGAAUUCCACGUGUAGCGGUGAAGUGCGUAGAGAUGUGGAGGAACACCAGUGGCGAAGGCGACUCUCUGGUCUGUAACUGACGCUGAGGAGCGAAAGCGUGGGGAGCGAACAGGAUUAGAUACCCCCGUAGUCCCUGUCUCUUAUAC